CUGGUCCAGGGCUGAGGGGGAGUUGACGGAGGUAGGGAGGGAGAGGGUUAAGUUACACCAGUGGAAGAGAAGGAAAGGCUGAGGUGUUGAUCUCACUGGGAAGUCGCCUGUGCCGAGCAGUGCCCCGGGUAUCCCACUCUCUCUCUGAACGUUUACAAGUCAUCCGUUCAGGACGGGGACUGGGAAACACCGCAGAGGACCGUGAGACCCCAGGAAUUCAGGGUCCCUGACUGUGUACCAAUCAGCAGCGCUAGAGAAGGCCUCUGGAUCCAAAUUUCAAGUCCAACGGAGGCUUCAUCAGUCUGUGCCCAAACUUGUGUGAAGCAAACGAGAGAAACAGCAAGAGAGAGACUGAAAGAGAGGAAGAGAAGGAGGAGGGAGGGCUCUCCAAUGAUAACCCUGAGUCGAGCGAGCGUGGAUGGAGGCCGGCGAAGGAAGCGCAUUGCUUAAUGAGACCAUUGCUCUUGUGUUGGGAGGCUUAGGACAGGCAAUUACUGAGGGAUUACCACCAGAGGCCUCCUCCAGCAGUGCUGCUGCCGCCGCUCCACCAGUGCUGACUGCUGGGGCAGGGAACUAAGCAGACACAGCUUGUUACAGAACAUUUUUUUCCUCUUUGGAUUUUUAUUGUUUUUGUUCCUUUUUUUGUUGUGGUGGUUGUUGGUUGGAAUUUGUCAUUUUUCUCACGACAAAUCAUC
rnacentral:lncRNA from 1 species